rnacentral:rRNA from 1 species
UACGGGGGGGGGUAAGCGUUGUUCGGAAUUACUGGGCGUAAAGGGCUCGUAGGCGGCCAACUAAGUCAGACGUGAAAUCCCUCAGCUUAACUGGGGAACUGCGUCUGAUACUGGAUGGCUUGGAUUCGGGAGAGGAAUGCGGAAUUCCAGGUGUAGCGGUGAAAUGCGUAGAUAUCGUAAGGAAGACCAGUGGCGAAGGCGGGUCUCUGGACAGUUCCUGACGCUGAGGCACGAAGGUCAGGGGAGCAAACGGGG